GAAUAGAACCUAACAAUCCUGGCGUCAACCAAUCCUAUGCAAUCUUGGAAGCUAAGCAAGGGCUGGGUCUAGUUAAUACUUGGGUGGGAGACCCCCAAGGAACACCAGUGUUGUGGGUG
rnacentral:rRNA from 1 species